AUUGAACGCUGGCGGCAGGCCUAACACAUGCAAGUCGAACGGUAACAGGAAGCAGCUUGCUGCUUCGCUGACGAGUGGCGGACGGGUGAGUAAUGUCUGGGAAGCUGCCUGAUGGAGGGGGAUAACUACUGGAAACGGUAGCUAAUACCGCAUAACGUCGCAAGACCAAAGAGGGGGACCUUAGGGCCUCUUGCCAUCGGAUGUGCCCAGAUGGGAUUAGCUAGUAGGUGGGGUAACGGCUCACCUAGGCGACGAUCCCUAGCUGGUCUGAGAGGAUGACCAGCCACACUGGAACUGAGACACGGUCCAGACUCCUACGGGAGGCAGCAGUGGGGAAUAUUGCACAAUGGGCGCAAGCCAGAUGCAGCCAUGCCGCGUGUAUGAAGAAGGCCUUCGGGUUGUAAAGUACUUUCAGCGGGGAGGAAGGGAGUAAAGUUAAUACCUUUGCUCAUUGACGUUACCCGCAGAAGAAGCACCGGCUAACUCCGUG
rnacentral:rRNA from 1 species